rnacentral:rRNA from 1 species
GACGAACGCUGGCGGCGUGCUUAACACAUGCAAGUCGAACGGAAAGGCCCUGCUUUUGUGGGGUGCUCGAGUGGCGAACGGGUGAGUAACACGUGAGUAACCUGCCCUUGACUUUGGGAUAACUUCAGGAAACUGGGGCUAAUACCGGAUAGGAGCUCCUGCUGCAUGGUGGGGGUUGGAAAGUUUCGGCGGUUGGGGAUGGACUCGCGGCUUAUCAGCUUGUUGGUGGGGUAGUGGCUUACCAAGGCUUUGACGGGUAGCCGGCCUGAGAGGGUGACCGGCCACAUUGGGACUGAGAUACGGCCCAGACUCCUACGGGAGGCAGCAGUGGGGAAUAUUGCGCAAUGGGCGGAAGCCUGAUGCAGCAACGCCGCGUGCGGGAUGACGGCCUUCGGGGUGUAAACCGCUUUCGCCUGUGACGAAGCGUGAGUGACGGUAAUGGGUAAAGAAGCACCGGCUAACUACGUG